UGCACAGUGUGGAUUAGUUGACUCUUGUGUUGUGCUGACAGAAAAACGGUUAACUUGUCUCUCUGUGCUCAG
rnacentral:pre_miRNA from 1 species